GAAGUGUGGACGCCAGUCUGCAUGGAGCCGACCUUGAAAUACCACCCUUUAAUGUUUGAUGUUCUAACGUUGACCCGUAAUCCGGGUUGCGGACAGUGUCUGGUGGGUAGUUUGACUGGGGCGGUCUCCUCCUAAAGAGUAACGGAGGAGCACGAAGGUUGGCUAAUCCUGGUCGGACAUCAGGAGGUUAGUGCAAUGGCAUAAGCCAGCUUGACUGCGAGCGUGACGGCGCGAGCAGGUGCGAAAGCAGGUCAUAGUGAUCCGGUGGUUCUGAAUGGAAGGGCCAUCGCUCAACGGAUAAAAGGUACUCCGGGGAUAACAGGCUGAUACCGCCCAAGAGUUCAUAUCGACGGCGGUGUUUGGCACCUCGAUGUCGGCUCAUCACAUCCUGGGGCUGAAGUAGGUCCCAAGGGUAUGGCUGUUCGCCAUUUAAAGUGGUACGCGAGCUGGGUUUAGAACGUCGUGAGACAGUUCGGUCCCUAUCUGCCGUGGGCGCUGGAGAACUGAGGGGGGCUGCUCCUAGUACGAGAGGACCGGAGUGGACGCAUCACUGGUGUUCGGGUUGUCAUGCCAAUGGCACUGCCCGGUAGCUAAAUGCGGAAGAGAUAAGUGCUGAAAGCAUCUAAGCACGAAACUUGCCCCGAGAUGAGUUCUCCCUGACUCCUUGAGAGUCCUGAAGGAACGUUGAAGACGACGACGUUGAUAGGCCGGAUGUGUAAGCGCAGCGAUGCGUUGAGCUAACCGGUACUAAUGAACCGUGAGGCUUAACCUU
rnacentral:rRNA from 1 species